rnacentral:rRNA from 1 species
UACGUAGGCAGCGAGCGUUGUUCGGAAUUACUGGGCGUAAAGAGUGUGUAGGCGGUGCUCCCAGUCUGUUGUGAAAUCUCCCGGCUUAACUGGGAGGGUGCAGCGGAAACUAGAGUGCUAGAGGGUGGGAGAGGUAAGCGGAAUUCCUGGUGUAGCGGUGAAAUGCGUAGAGAUCGUAAGGAAGACCAGUGGCGAAGGCGAGUUUCUGGACAGUUACUGACGCUGAGGCACGAAGGCCAGGGGAGCAAACGGG